rnacentral:misc_RNA from 1 species
CCGUGAAUAACAAACGGCUCGUCUGAAAUGCCUGAGUGUACCCCGCUUUGCGGCGUAUUCGGUGUGAUACAUCUUCACCGGAGUUGAUCCUUAUGGGUCGCGUCUGUAACGAGUGUGGCUCUAUGCUUCGAACCGUCUUCUUACGAGACAAUCUCUGACAAUUUGACCUCAAAUCGGGUGGGACUACCCGCUGAACUUAA